rnacentral:rRNA from 1 species
UACGUAGGGGGCGAGCGUUGUCCGGAUUUAUUGGGCGUAAAGAGCGUGUAGGCGGCCAGGUAGGUCUGCUGUGAAAACUCGAGGCUCAACCUCGAGACGUCGAUGGAAACCGUCUGGCUAGAGUCCGGAAGAGGAGAGUGGAAUUCCUGGUGUAGCGGUGAAAUGCGCAGAUAUCAGGAAGAACACCCGUGGCUAAGGCGGCUCUCUAGUACGGUACUGACGCUGAGACGCGAAAGCGUGGGGAGCGAACAGG